CUCUGGCCUUGAUCUCUGCGGGCCCUGGGUAGAAGCCCGUCGGGUCACGAGCGAUCUGUCCUCCUGUUCCACACAAGCCCUUUUAGAUCAUUUACCAAGUGGAUCCCCUAAAUUCUCAAACAAACAAACAAACAAAUUUCUAAGCAAACAACGAGUUUGCUCUGUCAGCAGCGGGGUCUCCAAAAUACACAGAACCUGCUGUACAAUUCAUCCAGCAGGGGGCACCCGACCAGUGAACAGGACAGACCCCCCCCCCCCCCCCAGUUAUCCACACCUGCUUCUGGAGGGGCUCCCAGGGGGCCCCACCUCAAACGGGUCUGCGGGAGGCGUUGUGUUCCCCGUCCCCCAAACCAUCGUCUGACUACCCCUUCUCACCUCUCCCUCCCCCCCCAAGUAUUUGCCCCAUGAGGUUGUAAGCCUGUUAUUAGCCCAGACAUGGUGGGAGGGGGGCGGGCAGUGCAUGAACCGAAGGAAGAACAGAGGGAGCAGAUGAACUGUCCUGGGGCCAUCGGGGGCUUUGCCGGGAAACGUGGCCAGAAUUUCUCACAACCUUCUAGGAAGCUGACUCAUCUGGAAGAGGGUAGCAAGGAGGCCGUGCAUUUGGUGUCCCCUCUUAACGUCAUUUUAAGGUCACCCGGGAGGAGAGUCUGUCCAGUUGCUGACUGCGCGUGAGAAAGGAAGGCUGUGUUCUCAGUGACACAGACGAGUUGUUCCACACACGGUCCAUCGCGGAGACGGGAGUUCUCACCAUGUUUUUUGAUAGCAAACCCUCAGGUAUUGAAAAGCCCAGCUCCUCGGUGUCUGGUAUCCUGAGACUCAGCUUGUCUGAGGCGCAGUGUCACGGGAGACCCUUCUCUUUGUCUUCCCCCCUUAACGCAUUUCCUUGCCUUGCUCAUCUCCUGUCACACCUCCUCCUGGGAGGCUCAGGCCAGCGUGGGGGUGACACCCUACGCUGCCUCCUAAUCGGCCGCCGUGGCUCGCUCGCUCUCUCGGCUCACGUCCUGCUCCAGAAAUAGAAGCAUUUAACGCAGACCAAGCCCCUCCAGUCCCCCUCCCUGACGCCCUGCCCGCGUUCCUUCUGUCCCGGAGACACACACAGUUGCAGGUGGACGACCUCCUCUCUGGCAGUUCCGCAAAGGUCAGAAAACUGAGACGCAGAAAAAAGAAAAUGCCAACCUGGGAAUUACUCAGUGUGUGUCCGUGCAGAAGGCCAGGCCUUUUAGAAGAUAAAUAUCACAGAUGGAGAGAGUGCUCGGGGACCUUUGUGUUGUCACAGUUUACUGCGAGAUUUAUAAAGUCCACGCUGCUGAAUCUGGCCUCCAGUUCAGCACCCGGACAUCCUCGAGGCCCAGCUUCGUCUGUUUGCUGCCCCAGACCUAUUGCCUCCCUUCCUUCCGCCUGCUCCCCAUUUCUGGGAUUUGGGGUUCCGUUGACCCCCGCUGAGAUGGAAUGUUCCUUGCUGGGUUUUUCAACUGUGGCCAGGAAGUUGGGGUCAUUUUCUGAAGAAAAAUAAUUUGCCUUCUAGAAGUUUUUAGUAAAAGAAGAACUCUAGAAAGUAGGUUUUGUGAUCAUCUACGUCUGGGAGAAAACAAUCAAUUAGGUCAAGGUCUCUGCCACUAACCAGAGGCAACACCAGAGGAAGGAAUAACCAGAGGAAAGAAAAGAAGUUGCUAGGCUACAUCCGGUAGCUGAAAUUUGGGAAAUUUCCUCUCAGCUGGAUCAGAGAGGAAUGUUCCUCAGGAGGGUCACUCGAAACACAUGUUGCACGUUGGUACCUGCAGUCGUGUGUCUGACAGUGUAUUCCAUUCUUAAUACCGACCUUGGCAUUCGGAGCCCCGGGGUGUGGAGUCGGCCAGGUGUGAACGUGCUUUCACAUUAGGGUAGCUCAGACUUGGGGGCCCCACAGGACAAUGGGUGUGGCUCGUGACUCCGCUGUUUCCAAUCCACGUGGUUUUGAGGGUGAUCACUAGAAAUCACUGAACUUCACAAAGCCCCUGUCUGCCUCGCUUCCACGAUGGGCGUAAGGACAAGCCUACACCUUGUGAUAGUUGGGAAAAUGGAAUAACGGGAUACAGGCCACAUACCUACACUGUGUCCCUCCCGUCCCCAGGUCUGAAUUUCUCCUGAGAGAUCAGACAGCAAAAACAUAUGGCACUGAGGGCGAUGGCCAUAACUCACUUCCCAGCUUCGGACACCUGCUGUGAUAUCCACACCGAUCCACUGCUUCAGGCCUCUGUUUCUCGAUGGGCCAGACUGAGCCCAGAGUGUAAACCAGGAUCCCCUUAGUGCUGAAGAGCGUCUGGAGAGGGAAACGGAGUCCUUCUGUGAAAAACAGUAACGUUACCGCUGCUUAGCGUCUACAGUGAUCAACUGUGAUCACGCCGUGUUGGGGACAUAAGUGUUUUAUUUGACAGCUAACUGCAGGCUAACGAACACACAGAGCAAAGUUUUCGUAGGUAUGACACAGCCAAUCGUCCACAUUCACAGGGUUUAUGUUGCAUUUUCUGCCGUGUCAAGAGAGGAAGAAAAAUGGAGCCAAGAACUUGGGUUGUAAUUGUAGUCCUCCUCACCUGGGUGUGGUCGUGCACCUGUUAAGAGCUUCAUGAGCUCUCAUCCGCCCUCUCCUUUCCUGGACCCCAGCCACUGGAGAAGCUUUAAAAAAAUAUCUUUCAUGAGGAACAAAUGCCAUUAGUAUGAAGACUGUCUUCUAUGGUUUUGAGGCAAGAUAUUAAGGCAGACGUUUGCAUUUUCCAGAGACAGGUGCCAGAAUGUAGCAAAAGAGAACAUAGUAAAAGUCUCCAAAUGAGUGCCAAAGGCUUUUUACUCCAAAGAAUGUCUGUCGAGUCUGUGCACUACAUAAACUAAGAAGAACCUUGGCCCCUGGUGACCAAAAUAGGGGUAAGAAGACUGCAGUUCAGCGUCUGCAUGGCCCAUCUCCUCUCCAGGCGAAACAGUACGGAAGAGGGGACCAUCCCCUGCCCUGUCACUGCUGGCACUCCGGUGCAGCUGGCCGGGUGACUGCCUGCUAGGUCCUCGCGGUGGCCGCUGUUAUCGGGGCACCGUGGAGACGCCCGGAUCCGAGGCCUGCAGAAAGUUCACCGAUCCCGAUCUCCUCCUCAGGCUCGACUCCAACAUCGUGGAACAUUUUGUGUCACUUGGCACUGUGUUUAUUCUAGAAAAUGGAAUAGAAGAACAAUUUGUCUUGGCCUUAAGGUAUUGCCAUUUCCCUUUCUUACUGAUUUUGUAAACCAAAAUAUAAAAUAUGUAACUAUGUGA